UGGUUCUGGCAUCGAUGAAGAACGCAGCGAAAUGCGAUAAGUAAUGCGAAUUGCAGAAUUCAGUGAGUCAUCGAAUCUUUGAACGCAUAUUGCGCCCUUUGGUAUCCCGAAGGGCAAGACAGUGGAUAGGAUCUGGUAGCCCUUGAUAUAACAAGCUGUUUAUAGCACAUAUCUAUAGGCCAGCAGCCCUAUCUUUCACCCCCCAAUUUUCUGAAGUUGACCUCGGAUCAGGUAGGAAUACCCGCUGA
rnacentral:misc_RNA from 1 species